ACAUUCUGGUUUCUCUUCAGAUUGAAUAAAUCUUUCUCCUUUUACCAAAGAUUUCCAUGGAGAGAAACAAUUCUGAGUAUUUAACACAAAAUAAGUCAGGGGGAAAAUGACAGAUACCCU
ensembl:snRNA U5 U5 spliceosomal RNA